rnacentral:rRNA from 1 species
GAUGAACGCUGGCGGCGUGCCUAAUACAUGCAAGUCGAGCGAACGGACGAGAAGCUUGCUCCUCUGAUGUUAGCGGCGGACGGGUGAGUAACACGUGGAUAACCUACCUAUAAGACUGGGAUAACUUCGGGAAACCGUAGCUAAUACCGGAUAAUAUUUUGAACCGCAUGGUUCAAUAGUGAAAGACGGUCUUGCUGUCACUUAUAGAUGGAUCCGCGCUGCAUUAGCUAGUUGGUAAGGUAACGGCUUACCAAGGCAACGAUGCAUAGCCGACCUGAGAGGGUGAUCGGCCACACUGGAACUGAGACACGGUCCAGACUCCUACGGGAGGCAGCAGUAGGGAAUCUUCCGCAAUGGGCGAAAGCCUGACGGAGCAACGCCGCGUGAGUGAUGAAGGUCUUCGGAUCGUAAAACUCUGUUAUUAGGGAAGAACAUAUGUGUAAGUAACUGUGCACAUCUUGACGGUACCUAAUCAGAAAGCCACGGCUAACUACGUG